rnacentral:rRNA from 1 species
GAAAGUAAAUAAGGGCGUAUGGGGAAUGCCUAGGCUCUUGGAGGCGAAGAAAGACGUGGUAAGCUGCGAAAAGCUCCGGGGAUUUGCAAACAAGAUUUGAUCCGGAGAUUUCUGAAUGGGACAACCCGUCAGGUAGAAGACCUGACACAUCGCAAGAUGGGCCAACCCUCUGAACUGAAACAUCUUAGUAGGAGGAGGAAAAGAAAGAAACAUCGAUUUCCUGAGUAGCGGCGAGCGAAAGGGAAAAAGCCUAAACCGGUAUUGUUACGGCAAUGCCGGGGUUGUAGGACUGCAACAUUCAAGUAACAAUGAACUGGAACGAUCUGGAAAGUUCGUCCAUAGAGGGUGAAAGGCCCGUACAGGUAAGUUCGUUAUGCGAUAGCAGUAUCCUGAGUAGGGCGGGACACGAGGAAUCCUGUCUGAAUCUGCCGGGACCACCCGGUAAGGCUAAAUACUCCCAAGAGACCGAUAGUGAACCAGUACCGUGAGGGAAAGGUGAAAAGAACCCCGAACAGGGGAGUGAAAUAGAACCUGAAACCAUACGCUUACAACCGGUCGGAGCAGCUUCGUGCUGUGACGGCGUGCCUAUUGAAUAAUGAGCCUACGAGUUACUAAUCACUGGCGAGGUUAAGUGCACGGAUGCACGGAGCCGAAGCGAAAGCGAGUCUGAACAGGGCGGCUAGUCAGUGGUUGUAGACGCGAAACCUUGCGAUCUACCCUUGAGCAGGUUGAAGGUUGGGUAAAACCAACUGGAGGACCGAACGAAUAAGCGUUGAAAAGCUUCUCGAUGACUUGAGGGUAGGGGUGAAAGGCUAAUCAAGCUGGGAAAUAGCUCGUACUCCCCGAAAUGCCUUUAGGGGCAGCGUUGUAAUAAAGAGUCUACUGGAGGUAGAGCUACUGAUUGGAUGCGGGGGCUUCACCGCCUACCAAAUCCUGACAAACUCCGAAUGCCAGUAGUAUGAUUUACAGCAGUGAGUGACUGGGUGCUAAUGUCCAGUCGCAAAAGAGGAACAACUCAGACCAGCAACUAAGGUCCCGAAGAAUAUGCUAAGUUGAUCUAACGAUGUUUUGUUGCAGAGACAGCUAGGAUGUUAGCUUGGAAGCAGCUAUUCAUUCAAAGAGUGCGUAACAGCUCACUAGUCGAGCGACAGAGCGUGGAUAAUAAACGGGCAUCAAGCAUAUCACCGAAGUUCUGGGCGCGAGAGCGCGGUAGGGGAGCAUUCCAUUCAGCGUCGAAGCAGUUUCGUGAGGAAUUGUGGAGCGUAUGGAAAAGCAAAUGUAGGCAUGAGUAACGAUAAUGCGGGAGAGUAACCCGCACACCGCAAGACCAAGGUUUCCUGAUCAACGCUAAUCGGAUCAGGGUUAGUCGGGUCCUAAGGGUAAGCCGAACGGUGAUCUCGAUGGACAAUCGGUUAAUAUUCCGAUACUAACAUAUACCUCGAUGGAGAGACGAAGGAACGUAAGUGACGCCGCCUGACGGAAUAGGUGGUUAAAGGGCGUAGGUAUAGGGACAGAUUAAGAGUUAGUCCUUGCUGAACCCCGACAGUACAGAGAGCCUACGGGCAAUUUGAUAGUGCACCCAAGUCGACUUCCGAGAAAAUCUUCUAAGUUAUAGUAUAUGUCACCCGUACCGUAAACCGACACAGGUGGUCGAGGAGAGUAUCCUAAGGUGCUCGAGUGAAUCACGGUUAAGGAACUAGGCAAAUUAACCCCGUAACUUCGGGAAAAGGGGUCCCUAUGAAAGUAGGGCGCAGCGAAGAGGUCCAGGCGACUGUUUAUCAAAAACACAGGGCUCUGCAAAUUCGAAAGAAGACGUAUAGGGCCUGACACCUGCCCGGUGCUGGAAGGUUAAGAGGGGAUGUCAUCGCAAGAGAAGCAUUGAAUCGAAGCCCCAGUAAACGGCGGCCGUAACUAUAACGGUCCUAAGGUAGCGAAAUUCCUUGUC